rfam:Winogradskyella sp. RHA_55 genome assembly, chromosome: I
UGAUGUUUAUAUUUGAGGCGCAUUAUGAAUAUAAAUACAAAUCAUACUUGGUGGUGGAAUUUCUCAAACUUACGUUCGUGAACCAUCCCUUGGUAUGUAUAACUUAUAUAAAAAAGGCUUGUC